rnacentral:rRNA from 1 species
UACGUAGGGUCCAAGCGUUGUCCGGAUUUAUUGGGCGUAAAGAGCUCGUAGGUGGUUCGCUAAGUCGGAUGUGAAAACUCGGGGCUCAACCCCGAGACGCCAUCCGAUACUGGCGUGACUUGAGUCUGGUAGGGGGAGAUCGGAAUUCCUGGUGUAGCGGUGAAAUGCGCAGAUAUCAGGAAGAACACCAAUGGCGAAAGCAGCUCUCUGGGACGGUACUGACGCUGAGACGCGAAAGCGUGGGGAGCGAACAGG